rnacentral:rRNA from 1 species
GACGAACGCUGGCGGCGUGCUUAACACAUGCAAGUCGAACGGUAAGGCCCCAGCUUGCUGGGGUACACGAGUGGCGAACGGGUGAGUAACACGUGGGUGACCUGCCCUGCACUUCGGGAUAAGCCUGGGAAACUGGGUCUAAUACCGGAUAGGACCGCACCGUGAGGGUGUGGUGGAAAGUUUUUCGGUGUGGGAUGGGCCCGCGGCCUAUCAGCUUGUUGGUGGGGUAAUGGCCUACCAAGGCGGCGACGGGUAGCCGGCCUGAGAGGGUGGACGGCCACAUUGGGACUGAGACACGGCCCAGACUCCUACGGGAGGCAGCAGUGGGGAAUAUUGCACAAUGGGCGGAAGCCUGAUGCAGCGACGCCGCGUGGGGGAUGACGGCCUUCGGGUUGUAAACUCCUUUCACCAUCGACGAAGGUUUUCUGACGGUAGAUGGAGAAGAAGCACCGGCUAACUACGUG